UACGGGGGGAGCAAGCGUUGUUCGGAUUUACUGGGCGUAAAGGGCGCGUAGGCGGCAAUUCAAGUCAUCUGUGAAAUCUCCGAGCUUAACUCGGAACGGUCAGAUGAUACUGCUUUGCUAGAGUGCAGAAGGGGCAACCGGAAUUCUUGGUGUAGCGGUGAAAUGCGUAGAUAUCAAGAGGAACACCGGAGGUGAAGACGGGUUGCUGGGCUGACACUGACGCUGAGGCGCGAAAGCUAGGGUAGCAAACGGG
rnacentral:rRNA from 1 species